UGCAGGACGUUUGCCGUCACGGUUUAUUGGAUCGGACGCGGACGUUUCUCCUCCUAUUAACUUCGAAGGCUUUCAGUUGAGAGUUUAGUGCACGGCGGGAUACUAAUUAUGCUUGUGAAAUAUCGAUGGUACGUGGCUAUUUCUGUAUCAGAUGGGUCAUUCUGGAGCAUUAGUGGAUUCGGUGGUCAGUUCAGUUAUCUGGAGAAGUCAUUCGCAGCAAUUGCAAGUGUCUCAAGCCAUGGAAGCCAUCAAAAGAUGUUUCUAAAACAACGUGUCACUGAUGCAGUGGUAAAAAAGAUACACACAUAGCAACGAGCUGAUAUUCACAUUCUCGCGAUGCACAUUAUAAAGUCAGAGAAUCAAGUUACAACGUUGGCAGCGCCUGUCCAACUGAGUCUCACAUCCAUCGUCGAAGUGUUGCCACCAGUGUAUUUAAAUGUGGGUUGUGAUGUUCUUUGUAUUUUUUUAAAAUUACAGAUUACAUUGAAGUAUUUAUCAUUAUGUUGAGUUACAAUUCUCCCUUCCAUGCAUUUUCAACUCAUUAAAG